GUCGCGGGGAUGGAGUCCAGCCCUGAGGUGAGAUGGAAAGUGAUCAAGAGCAGUGACAGCGUGAAUCCUGUUGAUGCCAGGCAAGAGCUGCCCAACUGGGACAAGAGUAACCGUCUCUGUCGAAAUUUGUAAUGAAG